UACGGAGGGUGCGAGCGUUGUCCGGAAUCACUGGGCGUAAAGGGCGCGUAGGUGGCGCGGGAAGUCAACGGUGAAAGUUCGGGGCUCAACCCUGAAUCGGCCGUCGAUACUCCCGGGCUCGAGCACUGUAGAGGCAGAUGGAAUUCCGGGUGUAGCGGUGGAAUGCGUAGAGAUGUGGAGGAACACCAGUGGCGAAGGCGACUCUUUGGCCUGUAACUGACGCUGAGGCGCGAAAGCGUGGGGAGCAAACAGG
rnacentral:rRNA from 1 species